rnacentral:rRNA from 1 species
CCUACGGGUGGCAGCAGUGGGGAAUAUUGGACAAUGGGCGAAAGCCUGAUCCAGCCAUGCCGCGUGUGUGAAGAAGGCCUUCGGGUUGUAAAGCACUUUCAGUGGGGAAGAAAGCCUUGGGGCUAAUACCCUCGAGGAAGGACAUCACCCACAGAAGAAGCACCGGCUAACUCCGUGCCAGCAGCCGCGGUAAGACGGAGGGUGCGAGCGUUAAUCGGAAUUACUGGGCGUAAAGCGCGCGUAGGCGGUCUGAUAAGCCGGUUGUGAAAGCCCCGGGCUCAACCUGGGAACGGCAUCCGGAACUGUCAGGCUAGAGUGCAGGAGAGGAAGGUAGAAUUCCCGGUGUAGCGGUGAAAUGCGUAGAGAUCGGGAGGAAUACCAGUGGCGAAGGCGGCCUUCUGGACUGACACUGACGCUGAGGUGCGAAAGCGUGGGUAGCAAACAGGAUUAGAUACCCUAGUAGUC